GGGCAGAUGGCCGAGUGGUCUAAGGCGCUAGUUUUAGGAGAGCAUCAUCUAGGAAGGUGUUACGUUCUGGAAAUCACUAGUCUUCGGGCGUGGGUUCAAAUCCCACUCUGCUCA
rfam:Puccinia sorghi strain RO10H11247 Scaffold_170, whole genome shotgun sequence.